CCUACGGGAGGCAGCAGUAAGGAAUAUUGGUCAAUGGACGCAAGUCUGAACCAGCCAUGCCGCGUGAAGGAUGAAGGCCCUCUGGGUUGUAAACUUCUUUUACAGGGGACGAAAAAAGGGAAUUUUUUCUCACUUGACGGUACCCUGGGAAUAAGCACCGGCUAACUCCGGGCCAGCAGCCGCGGUAAUACGGAGGGUGCAAGCGUUAUCCGGAUUCACUGGGUUUAAAGGGUGCGUAGGUGGGCAUUUAAGUCAGUGGUGAAAUCUCCGGGCUUAACCCGGAAACUGCCAUUGAUACUAUUUGUCUUGAAUAUUGUGGAGGUAAGCGGAAUAUGUCAUGUAGCGGUGAAAUGCUUAGAUAUGACAUAGAACACCCAUUGCGAAGGCAGCUUACUACGCAAAUAUUGACACUGAGGCACGAAAGCGUGGGGAUCAAACAGGAUUAGAUACCCUGGUAGUCCACGCCCUAAACGAUGGAUACUCGACAUCAGCGAUACACAGUUGGUGUCUGAGCGAAAAGCAUUAAGUAUCCCACCUGGGAAGUACGACCGCAAGGUUGAAACUCAAAGGAAUUGACGG
rnacentral:rRNA from 1 species